rnacentral:rRNA from 1 species
UACGAAGGGAGCUAGCGUUGUUCGGAAUCACUGGGCGUAAAGCGCACGUAGGCGGUCUGUUAUGUCGGAUGUGAAAGCCCUUGGCUUAACUGAGGAAGUGCAUCCGAAACUGGCAGGCUAGAGUACUAAAGAGGGUCGCGGAAUUCCCGGUGUAGAGGUGAAAUUCGUAGAUAUCGGGAAGAACACCGGUGGCGAAGGCGGCGCUCUGGACCGAGACUGACGCUGAGGCGCGAAAGCGUGGGGAGCAAACAGG